UGGGGGAUAUUGGUCAAUGGGGACAACCCUGAACCAGCGACGCCGCGUGAGGGAAGAAGGUCUUCGGAUUGUAAACCUCUGUCUUCGGUGACGAUAAUGACGGUAGCCGAGGAGGAAGCCACGGCUAACUACGUGCCAGCAGCCGCGGUAAUACGUAGGUGGCAAGCGUUGUCCGGAAUUACUGGGUGUAAAGGGAGCGUAGGCGGGGACGCAAGUUGAAUGUCAAAUCCAUCGGCUCAACCGGUGAUCGCGUUCAAAACUGUGUCUCUUGGGUGGAGUAGAGGCAGGCGGAAUUCCCAGUGUAGCGGUGAAAUGCGUAGAUAUUGGGAGGAACACCAGUGGCGAAGGCGGCCUGCUGGGCUCUAACUGACGCUGAGGUUCGAAAGUGUGGGUAGC
rnacentral:rRNA from 1 species